ensembl:lncRNA
UGGACUUGUGUUGAUGUGUGUGUAGGUGUGUGGACUUGUGAUGAUGUGUGUGUACUUGUGAUGAUGUGUGUGUAUGUGUGUGGACUUGUGAUGAUGUGUGUGUACUUGUGAUGAUGUGUGUGUAUGUGUGUGGACUUGUGUUGAUGUGUGUGGACUUGUGUUGAUGUGUGUGUAGGUGUGUGGACUUGUAUGUAGGUGUGUUUAGGUGUGUGUGAGAGAGAAAGACAGGACAAAACAGUGGAGGAGAGAAAUAAAGAAGGGCAUUCUUCCAGGCUGUUGAGCAGCUGAUGGAUGGAUGAGUACGAGAUGGCCGCUUGCCUUCUCGUGAUAAGGCCUGUAUCUCCAGCGGG